rnacentral:rRNA from 1 species
GACGAACGCUGGCGGCGUGCUUAACACAUGCAAGUCGAACGGAAAGGCCCUGCUUGCAGGGUACUCGAGUGGCGAACGGGUGAGUAACACGUGGGUGAUCUGCCCUACACUUCGGGAUAAGCCUGGGAAACUGGGUCUAAUACCGGAUAGGAGCCAUUUUUAGUGUGAUGGUUGGAAAGUUUUUUCGGUGUAGGAUGAGCUCGCGGCCUAUCAGCUUGUUGGUGGGGUAAUGGCCUACCAAGGCGGCGACGGGUAGCCGGCCUGAGAGGGUGGACGGCCACAUUGGGUCUGAGGUACGGCCCAGACUCCGACGGGAGGCAGCAGUGGGGAAUAUUGCACAAUGGGCGCAAGCCUGAUGCAGAGACGCCGCGGGGGGGAUGACGGCCUUCGGGUUGUAAACUCCUUUCGCUAGGGACGAAGCUUUUUGUGACGGUACCUAGAUAAGAAGCACCGGCUAACUACGUG